ACUCAAAGGAAUUGACGGGGGCCCGCACAAGCAGCGGAGCGUGUGGUUUAAUUCGAGGCUACACGAAGAACCUUACCUGGGUUUGACAUCAUGGUAGUAGUGAAGCGAAAGCGGAACGACCUUCGGGAGCCAUGACAGGUGCUGCAUGGCUGUCGUCAGCUCGUGUCGUGAGAUGUUCGGUUAAGUCCGAAAACGAGCGCAACCCCCGGGUCUAGUUACAAGUGUCUAGACCGACUGCCCGUGACAAACGGGAGGAAGGUGGGGAUGACGUCAAGUCAGCAUGGCCUUUAUAUCCAGGGCUACACACACGCUACAAUGGCCGGUACAAUAGGUAGCGAAGCCGCGAGGCGGAGCCAAUCCACCAAAGCCGGUCGUAGUUCGGAUUGCAGGCUGCAACUCGCCUGCAUGAAGCUGGAGUUGCUAGUAACCGCAGGUCAGCUAUACUGCGGUGAAUACGUUCCCGGGCCUUGUACACACCGCCCGU
rnacentral:rRNA from 1 species